rnacentral:rRNA from 1 species
UACGUAGGGUGCGAGCGUUAAUCGGAAUUACUGGGCGUAAAGUGUGCGCAGGCGGCAGAGCAAGUCGAGUGUGAAAUCCCCGGGCUUAACCUGGGAACUGCACUUGAAACUACGAUGCUGGAGUAUGGCAGAGGGAGGUGGAAUUCCACGUGUAGCAGUGAAAUGCGUAGAGAUGUGGAGGAACACCGAUGGCGAAGGCAGCCUCCUGGGCCAGCACUGACGCUCAUGCACGAAAGCGUGGGGAGCAAACAGG